UAAUACGUAGGAUCCGAGCGUUGUCCGAAUUUACUGGGCGUAAAGGGCGCGUAGGCGGGCCCGCUAAGUCUCAUGUGAAAUCUCCCGGCUCAACUGGGAGGGGUCAUGGGAUACUGGCAGGCUUGAGGGCAGCAGAGGGAAGCGGAAUUCCCGGAGUAGUGGUGAAAUGCGUAGAUACCGGGAGGAACACCAGUGGCGAAAGCGGCUUCCUGGACUGUACCUGACGCUGAGGCGCGAAAGCGUGGGGAGCAAACCGGAUUAGAUACCCGGGUAGUCCACGCCCUAAACGAUGGAUACUAGGUAUGGGGGGUAUCGACCCCUCCCGUGCCGAAGCUAACGCGAUAAGUAUCCCGCCUGGGGAGUACGGCCGCAAGGCUA
rnacentral:rRNA from 1 species